rnacentral:lncRNA from 1 species
UUGUGGAUCGAGGUCGGAGAGAAUGCUAAUGGUGAUGUUCGAGUGCGUGUCGUUUGGCAGAGUAUUGGAGAGGGACGGAGUCGUGUUGCGGAGUUGCCACUGGGGUCACCACGGGGCGGAUAACGUUCUGCAGCUCCGAGGGCUUCCGAGCUAGCUUCCUGUUGGUGCGGUACUGCGUGACCUUGAAGCGCAUGUAAGGCCCCAGAUUCUCCCUCAGCUUGAUGCAGAUGAAGAAGAUGAUGCGGUACACUAUGAUCAUGCCGAACAACACCGCGAUGUCUUCCCACUUCGUCAUCGAGGUUCUGAUCCCGUACAUCUCUCUGAUCACGUACCAGCCUGGAAUCGGGGGACCGAUUUUCUUCCCGUCCAGUACGUAGUUCUCGAAAGUUAACCCAAU